rnacentral:rRNA from 1 species
UCAUUUUGAGAUGAUUUGUGAUUUAGUUAUUGACUAGGUUUGGUACCUUUUGCAUCAUGAUCUAUUGAUAUAAGACAAGGAUGUUGUUGUUCCGAAGGUUUAUGAUCUUUUUUGGGUUUGUUUAGAAUAUAAGAGUGGAUGGGAAAUCUUUCUUAAAACUGAUUAAAGAUGUGAAAAAUAAUUCGUAUAAUCUAAUAUCUGAUUAAAAAGAGAUAAUUUUGAGUGAGCUUUAUUGUUAUGAGAUGAUAAAGCAGGUAAGAAUCCCAUUUUUUAUUUUUGUAGUUUGAGGUUAAAGAUACCUUAAAUUAAGUAGUGUGUUAAUAUAAAUAGAUGAUUGUGGGUGGAUUUUGUUUUAACUCUUUUUGUUGUUAAUUUUUAAUGUUAUAAGUAUGAUAGAAUAAGUAAAUUAAAUAUUCCUUUUUUUUCUCGCUAAUUUUCGGUCUGUUUAUUAAAAACAUUGCUAUUUGAUAAAUUUAAAUAGUAAGGCCUGCUCUAUGUUUGAUUAUUAAUGGCCGCAGUAUACUGACUGUGCUAAGGUAGCAUAAUUAAUUGCCUUUUAAUUGGGGGAUUGUUUGAAUGGUUUAACCAGAGAAUUAUUUUAAAGUAAAUGAGGAAUAAACUUGAAAUUGGAGUUCUGGUGCAGAUUCCAGAAGUUUUUUGUUAGACGGAAAGACCCCGAGAGCUUUAUGAUUAUGGUCAUUUGUCUGGGGCAGAAGUAUAUUUUUUAUAUAUUUUGUGAUCCUUUAUUAUAGGGAAAUAGGAUUAAGUUACCUCGGGGAUAACUAGGUAAGAAAUAAAGAGAGACCAAAUCGAUUUAUUUAGUUGCCAUCUCGAUGUUGAUUUAGAGUAACUAUGCUGGCGCAGGAGUUAGUAUAGAAGGUCUGUUCGACCUUAGUUCUCUUCAUGAGUUGAGUUAAGACCGGUGUAAGCCAGGUCGGUUCUUAUCUACAUUGGUUAUAAAUUAGUACGAAAGGAUUAUUUAUAAUUUAGGUU